AUACGGAGGAUGCGAGCGUUAUCCGGAUUUAUUGGGUUUAAAGGGAGCGUAGGUGGGAUAUUAAGUCAGCUGUGAAAGUUUGGGGCUCAACCUUAAAAUUGCAGGUGAUACUGGUUUCCUUGAGUACGGUACAGGUGGGCGGAAUUCGUGGUGUAGCGGUGAAAUGCUUAGAUAUCACGAAGAACUCCGAUCGCGAAGGCAGCUCACCGGGCCGGAACUGACACUGAUGCUCGAAAGUGCGGGUAUCAAACAGGAUUAGAUACCCUGGUAGUCCGCACAGUAAACGAUGAAUACUCGCUGUUUGCGAUACACGGUAAGCGGCCAAGCGAAAGCGUUAAGUAUUCCACCUGGGGAGUACGCCGGCAACGGUGAAACUCAAAGGAAUUGACGGGG
rnacentral:rRNA from 1 species